GGAGAGAUGGUUGAGUGGUUGAUGUCUCGAGUCUUGAAAACUAGUAUAGUUAAAAAACUAUUGAGGGUUUGAAUCCCUCUCUCUCCU
rfam:Picea glauca, whole genome shotgun sequence.